rnacentral:rRNA from 1 species
CCGUACGAUCACCGAAGUUAAGUAUCGUCUAGCCUGAUCAGUACCUAGAUGGGUGACCGCUUGAGAAUACCAGGUGCUGUAAG